UCUUCGGCUUCCGUAGAGGAAGUGGCGCGGACCUUCAUUUGGGGUUUCGGUUCCCCCCCUUCCCCUUCCCCGGGGUCUGGGGGUGACAUUGCACCGCGCCCCUCGUGGGGUCGCGUUGCCACCCCACGCGGACUCCCCAGCUGGCGCGCCCCUCCCAUUUGCCUGUCCUGGUCAGGCCCCCACCCCCCUUCCCACCUGACCAGCCAUGGGGGCUGCGGUGUUUUUCGGCUGCACUUUCGUCGCGUUCGGCCCGGCCUUCGCGCUUUUCUUGAUCACUGUGGCUGGGGACCCGCUUCGCGUUAUCAUCCUGGUCGCAGGGAGGUGUUCCGCUUUGCCUACUACAAGCUGCUUAAGAAGGCAGAUGAGGGGUUAGCAUCGCUGAGUGAGGACGGAAGAUCACCCAUCUCCAUCCGCCAGAUGGCCUAUGUUUCUGGUCUCUCCUUCGGUAUCAUCAGUGGUGUCUUCUCUGUUAUCAAUAUUUUGGCUGAUGCACUUGGGCCAGGUGUGGUUGGGAUCCAUGGAGACUCACCCUAUUACUUCCUGACUUCAGGAGCCUGGGAGAAGAUCAGGGAUGUAUCUCCUCCCCAUCUCCCUCCCUGCAGCCUUUCUGACAGCAGCCAUUAUCCUGCUCCAUACCUUUUGGGGAGUUGUGUUCUUUGAUGCCUGUGAGAGGAGACGGUACUGGGCUUUGGGCCUGGUGGUUGGGAGUCACCUACUGACAUCGGGACUGACAUUCCUGAACCCCUGGUAUGAGGCCAGCCUGCUGCCCAUCUAUGCAGUCACUGUUUCCAUGGGGCUCUGGGCCUUCAUCACAGCUGGAGGGUCCCUCCGAAGUAUUCAGCGCAGCCUCUUGUGUAAGGACUGACUACCUGGACUGAUCGCCUGACAGAUCCCACCUGCCUGUCCACUGCCCAUGACUGAGCCCAGCCCCAGCCCGGGUCCAUUGCCCACAUUCUCUGUCUCCUUCUCGUCGGUCUACCCCACUACCUCCAGGGUUUUGCUUUGUCCUUUUGUGACCGUUAGUCUCUAAGCUUUACC
rnacentral:lncRNA from 1 species